rnacentral:hammerhead_ribozyme from 1 species
AUCCAGCUGACGAGCCCCGAGCGGGACGAAACGCGCGUUGUGGAU